CCUACGGGAGGCAGCAGUGGGGAAUAUUGGACAAUGGGGGCAACCCUGAUCCAGCCAUGCCGCGUGUGUGAAGAAGGCCCUCGGGUUGUAAAGCACUUUCAGUGAGGAAGAACGCCUGGUGGUUAAUACCCAUCAGGAAAGACAUCACUCACAGAAGAAGCACCGGCUAACUCCGUGCCAGCAGCCGCGGUAAUACGGAGGGGUGCGAGCGUUAAUCGGAAUUACUGGGCGUAAAGCGCGCGUAGGUGGCUUGAUAAGCCGGUUGUGAAAGCCCCGGGCUCAACCUGGGAACGGCAUCCGGAACUGUCAAGCUAGAGUGCAGGAGAGGAAGGUAGAAUUCCCGGUGUAGCGGUGAAAUGCGUAGAGAUCGGGAGGAAUACCAGUGGCGAAGGCGGCCUUCUGGACUGACACUGACACUGAGGUGCGAAAGCGUGGGUAGCAAACAGGAUUAGAUACCCGGGUAGUC
rnacentral:rRNA from 1 species